rnacentral:rRNA from 1 species
GAAAGUAAGCAAGGGCAGACGGUGGAUGCCUUGGCUCUCGGAGGCGACGAAGGACGUGAUAAGCUGCGAAAAGCCCGGGGGAGGCGCAAAUAGCCGUUGAUCCCGGGAUAUCCGAAUGGGGCAACCCGGCAGGCUGAAGGCCUGUCAUCCCGAAAGGGAGGCGAACGUGGGGAACUGAAACAUCUAAGUACCCAUAGGAGGAGAAAAUAAACAAUGAUUCCGUAAGUAGUGGCGAGCGAACACGGAAGAGCCCAAACCCAUGUCGUCUAGGCGACACGGGGGUUGUAGGACCACGACGUGGCAAGAAGGAAGGGAAAUGGAACGACUUGGAAAAGUCGGCCAUAGACGGUGAAAGCCCGGUACAUGACUCCCUUACGAAGCCUAGUGGUAUCCUGAGUAGCGCGGGGCACGAGAAAUCUUGCGUGAAACAGCGGGGCCCAUCCCGUAAGGCUAAAUACUCCCGAGAGACCGAUAGCGAACCAGUACCGUGAGGGAAAGGUGAAAAGAACCCCGAGCAGGGGAGUGAAAUAGACCCUGAACCCGUCUGCCUACAAGCGGUCGGAGCGUCGUAAUGACGUGACGGCGUGCCUUUUGCAUAAUGAACCUACGAGUUACCUUCCCCGGCAAGGUUAAGUUCUUGAGGAACGGAGCCGAAGCGAAAGCGAGUCUGAACAGGGCGCCAAGUCGGGGGGGGUAGACGCGAAACCGAGUGAUCUACCCUUGGCCAGGUUGAAGGUUGGGUAACACCAACUGGAGGACCGGAUGGGUAAGCGUUGAAAAGCUUUCCAAUGAGCUGAGGGUAGGGGUGAAAGGCUAAUCAAACUCGGAGAUAGCUCGUACUCCCCGAAAUGCAUUUAGGUGCAGCCUCUUUAUAGUAUAUCGUGAGGUAGAGCGACUGAUUGGAUGCGAGGGCUUCACCGCCUAUCAAGUCCAGAUAAACUCCGAAUGCGCGAUAUAUAUUUACAGGGAGUGAGGGCGCGGGUGCUAAGGUCCGUGUCCGAGAGGAGAAGAAUCCAGACCACCGGCUAAGGCCCCCAAAUGAUCGUUAAGUUGAACUAACGAGGUCGGAUCGCAGAGACAGCUAGGAUGUUGGCUUGGAAGCAGCCAUUCAUUUAAAGAGUGCGUAACAGCUCACUAGUCGAGCGAUCUGGCGUGGAUAAUAAUCGGGCAUAAACGAUCUGCCGAAGCCGUGGAUGUCGCAAGACAUGGUAGGGGAGCAUUCCAUGCCGCGUCGAAGAUGAGGGAUGACCCUUGUUGGAGCGCAUGGAAAAGCAAAUGUAGGUAUGAGUAACGAUAAGGGGGGCGAGAAACCCCCCCGCCGAAAGACCAAGGUUUCCUGAUCAACGCUAAUCGGAUCAGGGUGAGUCGGGACCUAAGGCAAAGCCGAACGGCGCCGCCGAUGGAAGAAUGGGUUAAUAUUCCCAUACUGCCUCAUGGAGUGACGUGGAGACGGAGAAGUGACAGUCCUGCCGGCUGACGGAAUAGCCGGUUGAAGGGUGUAGAUAUUGAUUCCCGUAGGCAAAUCCGCGGGGAGAGUCGAACCUGAGAGUAUACGGAGCGCUUGCGCAACGUAAUAUGGACGUAACCAUGCUCCCGAGAAAAUCCGCUAAACUUAUCCAUGCGGCACCCGUACCGUAAACGGACACACGUGGUCGGGUUGAGAAUACUGAGGCGCUCGAGUGAUUCACGGUUAAGGAACUAGGCAAAUUGACCCUGUAACUUCGGGAUAAAGGGUCCUCGUCGUAAGGCGAGGCGCAGAGAAUAGGUCCAGGCAACUGUUUAACAAAAACACAUGGCUGUGCUAAAUGGAAACAUGAUGUAUACAGCCUGACACCUGCCCGGUGCCGGAAGGUUAAGAGGAGAUGUCAUCCGCGAGGAGAAGCGUUGAAUUGAAGCCCCGGUAAACGGCGGCCGUAACUAUAACGGUCCUAAGGUAGCGAAAUUCCUUGUCGGGUAAGUUCCGACCUG